UCAUAUUUUUUAAAGCUUUCAAAACCACUUUUCUAAGCAAAAAAAAAAACUCCGAAAUUCCUUUCUUUUACUCCCCAAAAAUCCCCCUUUUUAGCUAGGAUUUCACAAACCCAUCAUCGCCGUCGUUCACCAUGCCGAACGGAGAGGAGGACUCCGACGACGAGCCACAAGGUGGAUCCGGCAUAGAGUGGUGGAGGCAAGUGGGUGUGCUGGUGGCAGACAACUGGUAGUGGCGGGCCAAGGUGGGGCGGCGGCUAGGGUUCUUCUCCUCCCUUUUUUGCUGAAAAUUGUUUAGGUUUAGGCUGGGCUUAGGGUUUUAGUCUGUUGGGCUAAAUUGGGUUUGGUUAGGGUUGGUUUAAGUUGGGCCAAAAUUGGGCCUCAACAAUAUGUAUAUAUUAUGUUUUUAUGAUGAUGCAUGCCAAAGUUAUGUCCACAUUCAUGGCUUCGCAAUUAAUGUUAAGAAUCACACAUCUCUCUGUUACUUAGUUAUUUCCAAACUUUUAAAUAUUGUAUUUGGUUAGUCUUAGAUUAAUCUCACAUUUUAAGAAUUAAUUUUUUGAGUUUAAUUUCGAUUCCGGGGUUUUUGUAUGGAA